GUGUGUGUUGUCUCUGACGUUGCUGUUGGUCGGUGCCGUUCUCUAGAGCUUCAUCGAGUUGCUGUGUGCGUCUCUAGAGCUUCAUCAGACGUUGCUGUGUGGUCGUUCUCUAGGGCUUCAUCAGAGUUGCUGUGUGUCGUCUCUACGAGUUGCUGUGUGUGUUCUCUAGAGCUUCAUCAGACGUUGUGUGUGCGUUCUCUAGACGUUGCUGUGUGCCGUUCUCUAGACGUUUGUGUGUGUCUUUCUUAACGUUGCUGUGUGUCGUUUCUAGACGUUGCUGUGUGUCGUUCUCUAGAGCUUCAUCAGCUUGCUGUGUGUCGUUCAUCUAGACGUUGUUGUGUGUCCUCUAGAGCUUCAUCCAACGUGCUGUGUGUCGUUCUCUAGACGUUGCUGUGUGUCGUUCUCUAGACGUUGCUGUGUGCCGUUCUCUAGACGUUGCUGUGUGCCGUUUCUCUAGACGUUGCUGUGGUGUCGUCUCUAGACGUGCUGUGUGCCUUCUCUAGACGUUGCUGUGUGUCGUUCUCUAGACGUGUGUGUGUCGUUCUCUAGACGUUGCUGUGUUUCGUUCUCUAGACGUUGCUGUGGUCGUUCUAGAGACGUUGCUGUGUGUCGUUCUCUAGACGUUUUGCUGUGUGUCGUUCUCUAGACGUUGCUGUGUGCUUCUCUGACGUGCUUGUGGUUUCUAGACGUUUGUGUGCCUGCUUACGCUGCUGUGUCGUUCUCUAGACGUUGCUGUGGUCGUUCUCUAGCGUUGCUUGUGUGUUCGUUCUCUAGACGUUGCUGUGUGUCGUUCUCUAGACGUUGCUGUGUGUCGUUCUCUAGACGUUGCUGUGUGUCGUUCUCUAGACGUUCUGUGUGUCGUGCUCUAGACGACGUUGCUGUGUGUCGUUCUCUAGACGGACGUUGCUGUGUGUCGUUCUCUAGACGUUGCUGUGUGUUCGUUCUCUAGCGGACGUUGCUGUGUGUCGUUCUCUAGACGGCGUUUUUGUUGUUUUGUGUCGUUCUCUAUAAGACGUUGCUGUGGUCUUGGCCUGUGCACUUGAGCCAACAGCUGGCACAUAACAGUGUGGGGUUAGCCUACAUGAUGGAUUAUUAUGGAUAAGGGCUAGAUUUAUUUUGGGGGGGGACGGGGGGGGGGUCAAAUGACCCUGGAUAUUUAUUGUGAAGGAGCAUCAAGUAGGCAAGUUCAUCAAGUUCAUCUUUCACCUCCCUGUUCAUCACUUAUUACAUCUGUGCUUAAACUGUGAAUCACAUCGUCGCAUGACUCCAAGUUUACUUCCAUAUGAUGUGUUGGAUGGAAACCUGCUUAAUGACAUCUAUUUCUCACUCAUUUAGAGUUUAAAAAUGCUCUCAAACACAACAGAAUCUGUAUUAUUUGUAUGUUUUAUUUAAUUACGAAAGUCAGUUGAGAACAAAUUCUUAUUUACAUGACGGCCUAGGAACAGUGGGUUAACUGCCUUGUUCAGGGGCCGAAACUACAGGUUUUACCUUGUCAGCUCGGGGAUUCGAUUUAGCAACCUUUCGGUUACUGUCCCAAUGCUCUAACCACCAGGCUACCUGCUCUAACCACUAGGCUACCUGCUCUACCACUAGCUACCUGCUCUAACCACUAGGCUACCUGCUCUACCACUAGGCUACCUGCCUAACCACUGCUCUGCUCUAACCACUAGGCUACCUGCUCUAACCACUAGCGCUACAUAGCCUGCUCUAACCACUAGGCUACCUCUACCAGGCUACCUGCUCUAACCACCUAGGCUACCUGCUCUAACCACUAGGCUACCUGCUCUAACCACUAGGGCUACCUGCUCUACCCACUAGGCUACCUGCUCUAACCACUAGGCUCCUGCUCUAACCACUAGGCUCCCUGCUCUAACCACUAGGCUACCUCAAAUCAAAUCAAAUCAAAUUUUAUUUGUCACAUACACCAUGGUUAGCAGAUGUUAAUGCGAGUGUAGCGAAAGCUUGUGCUUCUAGUU
rnacentral:lncRNA from 1 species